rnacentral:lncRNA from 1 species
AAAGAAUAUAUCACAGUUUGUCUCAAUUUUUACAAUGAACCGCAUUUACUGAUUAAACCUUAUAUUUUCCUUGUUUUAUCGUAGGGCAAGAAAACAGCCGUGAUUGUGUGCAAGCAGUUCACUCCGAGGAUAGAUGAACAUUUUUUGGAGGAGUUGAAAACUUUCGUAUUUCGUCAAAAGCUUACAAUCCUCGACUUUGUGGCUACGCAUGUCAUGAAACUGAGGCUGUCUCUGUUGACCUCCGUACUCGGUAUCACAUCAACGUAUAUGCUCAUUUCAGUACAAAUGAGGAAGGCUGUUUCCG